GACUGUAGUAUUAAACUCCUGAAAAGCAUUUUAUUGAAGUUUUCAAUGACCCACUGUUUUCUAUCACACCACAUCUACCGGUAGAUAUAGGUCUAGCACCACCCUACACCAUGUCAAUCUUGUUCCUUAAGUUUUUUAACAAAUAACAACUUGAAACAAAAAAAUUCUAGCUAAAUAAUGUAAACAAUUUCUGUACAAGUUCUACCAGUUGGCAGCAGAUAAUGACGACAAUGCUCUUGGUUUGUAAGGCCAACGGUUUCUUGACUGAGCAUAACGUUUUAUAUGACAGAUGCAGGUUGGUUUCUGGGGUCAUCAGGUCAAUGUCAAGCCUGUUAAAUUUCUUUGUCUGAAACAAAAUAUCUCUCUGGUAUGAACUGUUGCCCACAUUUUUUAUGAGUGCAAAACCAUCACAUGAGAUUAAAUGAGGUUGCUUAUAAUUUUUUGACUUCCUUUCAGUUUGGUUGUUGUGCAUUAUUCAGCGUCCGAGGUGCUUUGUCUUUUAAAGUCCAAACAAAGUCCUUUGUAACGGCUAACAAAAAACAUUACAAUCGUAGUUUAACUACAAAGACUAAAUGGAUUUUACCAAAAGCUUUAGCAGGAAAAACUCACUCUGAUGGAAUGCAGCAGACUAUUUCACCUGUAAACACAGGAUUUACUGUGAAAUCUGCUGAGAGUGAUGGAGGCUCAGAGAGGAGAGGUUGCACAGGCACACUGUGAAACAAUCAUCUGGUAUUAAUAAGGUAAAGAGAAGUACUUUGGCUAAGCUCAACAGAGAAGAAAACAUAUUGAAUAAGAACCAGACACCCUGAUGACAGCUCUAAAAAAAGGGCUUUAGAUUGGCUGAAAUGAUUCUAAGGACUUUGGCCCCCAUGAGGCCAUAUAGCAAUUACGGUGCCUAUUUCUGCUCCUCUAUACACAACCCAGUCCAAAAUGGGAGUACUGGAAUUAGAUACACCAGAUGAAGAGGGUUACAAGUUGUCUUUGCAUAUUUUCCAGUCCAGAUAAAAAACAUAAUGUUGCAUUGUCCUUCAAUUAUGACCUCAGAGAUUUACAUAACACCAAGCCCAUGAUUAUUCACACCACAGAAGAUGACCUACUCUACGAAGAUUGUACAAAUCAGGAUUUUAUUUUUUCUUCUAUAUUUUAGAAGCUGGAAGGUUUGGGAACUUCUUCAAAUGAAGCCACUUCCUGCCUCUUUUUCCUGUUGGUGCGGGCAACUCCGCACACACACACGCCACACACACACACACACACACACACACACACACACACACACACUGCAAUUAUCUAAGCAUUUUAAACAUAGGGCAUGCUCAGCUGAUGGAGGACAUCAAAGCAAAAGGACAGAGCUCAAGUGACGACCAUACCCGCGGCACACUCAAACAAAAAUGAUAACAAACCCCCAGCUCCUCCAACUGAGAGAGGAGAUGACACAGGCAAACAUGCAGAAGGUGGGGUGUGGGGUUGUGGCCCCACCUCACUUUUGAAGAAAAAAAGAAAGAAAAAAAUGAGAGAGUGAGAGAGAGAGAGAAAAAAAUAAGAGAACGAAAGAAAAUCACAGUCAUAUGGGCGACACUUCCCCCAGCUGAAGUGUAGCUGUAGCUUACUGGUGGGAAAGUCGACGCUAUAUGAAGAUCUCCUCUUCUCGCUAACCUGCUAACCUCGUCUGUCAACUGCUAGUUCAUCAGAGCAGGUAACAGAGAGAGAGCUGGUACAACCCAGGGGAGGGGAGCACUGGUUCAUCUCUAAAGAGGACCUCUGAUUCACCGAUCCACAGCGUCUGGGUUUCACAGGCCGGUUUCAGAAGACAGACAUGCUACAGUAACAGAAACAGCUGCAGCCAGCGGGAGGGAGGUGCGGAGAAACUUGGAGAAGAAGAUGAUCUUGGCAUUGACCUUCAAGGAAACGGACAGAAGCAACUGAUAUGAGACAAAAAAUCUUGUCAUUAAUGCUGUAUUUGUUUUGCUGUGGGGGUUUAAUACUCCAACAAUCAAAUAUUAUUUAAGUUAUUGAAAGAAUCAAAAAUGUGCAAAAGUUAAAAUCACCCUAAAUUUUGUGUAUUUUUUAUUUCAAGCAGCAAGACUAUUUUGUAUUAUUUUAAACUGAUCUCGAUCAAGACUCCAGACAUUCCAGUGGUCUUCCAAUUAAUUUUCUUUGAGCUUUGGCUGAUUUGUUUUGUUUUGUUUAACUCAUUGCUGUUCAUGCACAUAAUUAUGACAGCAUAUUGUUCCAUAAAUAUUUUUGAAAAGAGGGAAAUGUAAAGAAAAGAAGAUCUAGAAGAUUUGUUUUUAUCUUUUUUCGCUGACAAGUUUUGGCUAACGCUGCAGUCUUCCUCAGAGCACCGCCGAUGUCGGUGGUAUUACUUUCUUCUACUACACUGUGUUUAAAAAAUAAUUAAAACAAGGGAAUUUCCUGGUCUGACGGGAAAUCUUGAGCGUUCACACGACUUUGGAGUAAACAAACUUAAGUACAGUGUGUUUCCGGCACCUUCUUUACUGAUUGGCUAAAUGUCGCACUGAACCGUUAGCACGCUUGUUUGUCCUCGGAAAUCAGAUCAAGACAGCCCCGGUUUAUGAUCUGAGCCGUCCUGAUGUCCGUCUGACCAAAGUGCUCUUAACACACCACACAAGGUAGGAUUAUCUGAUAAAAUUAUCUCUAUAACCAUUCUGAUAAUCAGACAGGUCAUUGGGAUUGCGAGCAACAUUAUCCUGCUUUUAAACUGGGCUGAAAAUAAAGAAGUUCAGUUGUUUUUGUUUGAACCUUAAAGAGACUACCGUGCCUGAGAUGAUGAACCGUCACCACAGAACCUGCAGCUGUGUUUGAAACCAAAUGAACCAAAUUUUAUAAACAGUAGGCCUACAUUGGGUCGUGUUUGAUACCCAUGAAUCUUCUCGCAUCUGCGGACCAGUGGUUCACUUCAGAGCAGGUUGAAACCUGACAGGCAGUGAAAAACACCCUGGCAUCUAUGGAUGACAUCACAGCUUUAGUCUAACCUAUUCAAUGACGUAAACACCCAAUCUGUCCCCACCCCAUUUCAUCAAGAUGGAGAUUCCUGUUUUAAGUCAGAGGGGUACAUAUUUAAAAUUAGGCAAAUAAUUGCCUCAUACAGGCCUUUAUAACAUCAGUCGUUAGUCAAUGAGCUGCUUUCUACCUGUGAGGUCAUGCCCUCUGUCUGUCAGUGGGUCUGGGAUACUCCAAACUAAAUGCUUCCAGACUUCAGAGGACUGUCUCUUCUCAUGUUGUCUCACCACAUCUGUUCCUGAUCACCCUCAAACUACAGCGAAAACUCUUCUCUUAAUUUUUUCCGAAACAGCUUUAAAAGAUCCUUAAAAAAUGUCUAGUAACCUAUCCUUCACAAUAAAAUAUUCAUACAAGCUGCAAAGAUUUUCUUUAUGCUUGCCAUCUGAUAGUCCUAAAGGGGAAUUUCAUUCCUGACGCAGAAGCAGUGCUGCGCCCCAGAUAUGUUAAAUCAUCAGAUAACAUCUCGCUGCAUCUGGUUUUCUGCCACCAAAGCCUUCAUGUUUGGAGACAAUCUGUGGUCAAUAGUACGGUUUUGCUUCGUCCCAGAGCCCAAAGGAAACACUAUCUACCAACGCAUGUUUGAGUCAAACCAUAAAAGAGACAUGCUUGUGGGGGCCGGGGUGGACCUCUCAUUCGCUAACUCAGUUGUUCACACCGAGCUGACGUAUGGGCACAAUCAGGAAACGCAACAUGUCACAAACAAGUGACCCUAAGGUGAAAGGUUUGGAGAACGAUCCUGCUCUCAGGUCUGUAGCUGGUGUGCAUGUGGACUUGAUUUAAAACACCAUGAUUACCUUGCUGUAGCUUUACUGCCCCUACGCCCCAUGGGAAACCCAAACGUAAAAGGAAACGGUGUGUUUUUGCUAGCAACAAAACGGCAUAGAUUACUAAACUGGUGCUUUGGUUGACCCCCUGUCUGACGCUGAUGUUUUGUUUUCAUAAAUAUUACUGUUCAGGUUAUAAUAAUUAGUGGUUUUACAUUCCUGGUGCCUUUGCUGUUCGUAAUUCAUGACUUGUGCAAUAAAAGUGAUAAUUUCGUUAUUUUCAGAUGCAAUAAUUAAGGUUUAAUAAAAAUCUUAACAAAAAAUAGAAAUUGAAUAUAAACUAUGACAACUAUUCAGUUUACAAGAAUGGUAUAAUUUGUAAGAUCUUUCAAUUUUUAAAACGAAUUUAUGAAAAUUCUUAUUCUUAUUAUUAUUAUUACUCUUUAUUAACAUGUUUUGCAUUCAUUUACACAAGUUUACUCCAAAACAUGUUUCUUUAUUUCUAAAAGAGCUAGAGCAAAUGUCCUUCUGGUACAUUUGGGUUAGGGUUAAUAUCAAUUCUUAAUAAAUAUGAGGGAUGCAGGACAGAUUUAAAGGUCCUUAUUAAAAACACAUACAUCACACUAACUGAAGGCAUUAACUUGAUUAUCAUGAUUAAUGUUAUCAUGAACACGAACAAAAGGUGUAUUACUUAACAGAUUAAUGACAUACCCAUAAUGUAAGGUAAAUACUCACGUUUAUACAUUUUCCUUUGCAAAAAGUAAGUUUCUAAAUAUAUAAAUGGUAAAUAAUAAAAUAAUAAAUAUAAUAUAAUAUAAUAAAAAUACUUAAAAACACAUAUGAAACAACAUAUGUCAUAUUUACUAGAGCUAUCUAAAAUCAGCAGGCCAUGAAUCAGUAAAAAGCUUUCAUUGAUUGCGUCUGUAAUGUAUUUAUUUAUCUUUAGUCCUUUAUAGUUGUAUGAAGUCGAAGGCUGAAUUCUCAGUUAUUAAAAUAUUAUUCACGGUAGUUUUUACAAUUUAAACUGUGCAUUUAAUAAAAUAGUGUUUAAGCACAUUUUACUAAACAGUCGUUGCUCACAUGCACUACUAGAUUCUAUUACCUGCUGCCAAAAGCAUUACAGAGGGGUCCUUUAUUGCAAUAGUUAACAGAUGUGGCCUCCAGAGCCAAUGUUUGAUUUGUUUGUUUUCUGCAAGAAAAUUAUAAAAUGAAAUGUUAAAAGGAUUAAAAAGGUCUGUGCUGUUGUUACACUGCAAUGUGCCAAUUAGGUUUGUAAAAUACGUCAGAGGGUGGUCCUAAAUCAGCUGCUCAAAGAGAAGUCCACAUCUUUGCGAAGUGGGGUUGCAGAUAGCUAUCUGAACAACCUCAGUUUGGAGAAACAAAGAUUAGCUCUGACCAGACAGAUGAGAGGGUUACAGAAGGGUUGGGUACAGAGUGUUUCGUUUUAUAGCAGUUCUUAUAAAUGUGAAAUGAAUUGAAAAUUUAAUUAUUUACAAAUGUACUUAGUCCACACACCUCUGGACAAAAUGUCAUAAUAACUGUAAUAACUAAUAAAGAACAGGAAAAGUUAAAUCACGACAAAAUAAAAGUUAGAACAUACAAUUGGCAAAAACUGAAGAGACACUUUCGAACCUGUUUGUUUAAAUAUUUUAAACCCAGACUGUUGGUUCGUCUAUGUUUCUCCAAACUGAAGCCAUUCGAAGGGCAGUCUACAACAGUUAAGGUGCCCAGUGUACAAAAUCACAAAUCGUGUGCUGCUGGUGGUGGUCGGAGGGGCCGGUGGCACCAGCGCAUGGUAAGCCUUGCCUCUGUCAGUGCACCCCAGGGAAGCUGUGGCUACACUGUAGCUCAUCAUCACCAGCGUGUGAAUGUGUGUGUGUGAAUGAGUGAAUCACUGAUUUUGUUAUGAAGCACCUUGGGGGGUUGUAGAACCCUAAGAAGGCGCUAUACAAAUACAGAACAUUCACAGUGUGAACUAUCCCUUUAAGAUGGAAUUAGUCAAAUUACUUGGCCAGAAGAUGGAUGAGAGAUGCGUAAAUCAAGCCAUGAAUGCAGAACCGGUCCUACAGAAGCACCCAACCGCUAAAAACAUGACUGAAAUGAGCUAAGUGUAAAAAUGUACCACAACAUCAGAGAUUAUUGCAUGUGCCAAAAAAACUGUUACUCUGUCAACAAAAUAAACUAUAUUCCACCAUUUUC